rnacentral:rRNA from 1 species
UACGUAGGGUGCGAGCGUUAAUCGGAAUUACUGGGCGUAAAGCGUGCGCAGGCGGCUUUGCAAGACAGAUGUGAAAUCCCCGGGCUCAACCUGGGAACUGCAUUUGUGACUGCAAGGCUAGAGUACGGCAGAGGGGGAUGGAAUUCCGCGUGUAGCAGUGAAAUGCGUAGAUAUGCGGAGGAAAACCAAUGGCGAAGGCAAUCCCCUGGGCCUGUACUGACGCUCAUGCACGAAAGCGUGGGGAGCAAACAGG